UAUUUUUUACCUUUUUAAUGAAAUUUAUUUUGGACAUUUUGACACUUGUGUGCUAUAUUUGUAAUAAAAAAAUUCUUAGGAAUACCACGGAAAAUUUUACAACAUCAAAUACUAAAGAAAAUUUUAUAUAUCUUUAUUAACUUUCUUUGUUCAACUAAAAUUUAAUUUUUGAAAUUCGUUAUUUUUGCUCUGGUGGUAGCAGUCCUGAUUCUUUACAUUUUGUUAAUAACAUUUAGAAAACACUUGCUUACCGAUGGAAUGCUAACUUUAGGUGCUGUAUUUUUUUAUUUUUUUUAUAAUUUAACUUUAGGUGAGAUUUUAAAUUUCAUUUUUUGGUUUUGUAUGGUGACCAUUUGCUAAGAGAACAAAGGCUGGUUUUUGGUAAUGAUAUAAAUCUUCACUUUAGAGUUGCAGCUGCUUUGGGCGUUUUGACCAAACUUAAAUGUAACACAUAGAGACAAACUGAGAUUUUUUCAAUUCAUGGUACCAAAAAAAAUAUGACCAAAAAAGUUUUUUUUUGUACGAAGCCAUUGAAGAUUUGCAAAGCCUAUUGAGUGAGUGAUCAAAGUCAUAACUGCAAGUAAAAUGAAUAUUUAUUUGAUAUUCGGAAAGUCAUCUAUUUAUGGAAAAAGUAUAUUUUAUUAAAAAUAAAAAGGAAGAAAAAUGCAAAGAGUAUUAGUAAUGGAAAGUCCUACUUUAUGCAGAAAUCUCCGUCACACUCUCCUCUCUCCAUUAGUACUUUGUUCUCUCUAUCAUCUCUACCAUUUUUAAUGUAUGUCUCCAUUUCCUUCACCGUCUUAAUUCUCCUCCUCUCCUCCGUCGCCGCCGCUUUCAUCCUCUUACCCUGCUGCAACGUGUCGGGCGGUUGGCUCUUCCGGGAAGUCUUGGACUUCAUCUCAUUGGCGAGACUCUGAUCUAGUCGGAGCUUCCAAGACGGAGGAUCCUGGGCCUUUCAUCAAGGAGAGAAUUUCCCGGAAUCGAUUUAAAUGACGCAUAUAUUUGGUGAACUGGCGAUUUGCUCAGUUGACCCAAAGUCGAAGCAGUUUCUUAUUCAAUACAAAGAGAAGCUUUUGGAUUGCUCUUAUAUUAUCUCCCUUCAAAUGAUUCGAUACCAUAAAAGGAAGGGCGUAUUGAAUGUGGCGUAGUGGAAAGAGUCGUUUAAUGGUACUGAUGAGAAUGUUACUUAUGUUGAUUGAAUGCAAGAGUAAACUGUUCAGAGGUAAUAGAUUGAACAUCAAUCGACACGACGAUGAAGAUCAAAAAAAAAACUCAGAUUAAAUUGAAACGGUGAGUUUCAUACUCCGUGGACACGUGUCGCGCUUACAAUAGCCGAUUUUCUGACGUGGAAUCCUAGGUGGCUUCACCAGGAGUGAUUCAAACAUUUUUUUAUAUAUAAAGAUAACUUAUAUAUUUGACUUUCCCUAUUUCCUUUAUUUUAUUUUCAUUUAUAGAUAUCAUUUUAAAACAACUUAAAUUUAUUAUUUUCUACUACUGGCAAUCAAUUACUAAUAAAUAAUAAAAUUAACUUAUUAAAAUAGCAAACAAUUCAGUUACUUUGUGUAUAAUAUUUUAGAGUAUUUAUUUAUGAUAUAGUGGCAUGUAAGGUACUGUAAUACAUAUGUAAAAUAAUAAUACAUUAUAUAUGUAUGUGUGUUUAACUAGUUUUGAUUUUAGAAUUUUAUAAUUUUGAUUAAUAAAAUUUGUAGAAUAUUUUUAAAAAUAUUAAAAUAAAUUUAUAAAUCUUUUUAUGAGUUGUAAUAAAUUACUAUAUAUAUUAUUUUAUUUUCAAAUUAUAAUUAAUAAUAUUUUAUUAACAAUUUUAAUAUCUAUUAAUAUUUUACAAAAAAUAAAAUAAAUGAUUUUAUUAAUAAUUUAAUAUUAUAAAAUAUAUUUAUUGUGUGCCCCCGUCAAAUACUUUUUCUGGAUCCGCCAUUGUACACUAGGGGCAUUGCCCCCGCGCAAGCGCGGAGUUGUGAACAUAGUUCUUGUUUCAUCUCAAUUUUUGUUAGGGUUAUUGUAGCUGUGAAUUUUAUGUUUUGGGUUAAUCAUUGUUUUUCAAGUUUUUUAUUGUUAUAUGGUUAAAGUUGUGAUGAUAACUGUGUCUGCACUGUUCUCCACUCAUGAAGGACUAAACUGUGUUAGUAAUGUGAUUGAUAUAGUUCGUGGUGUUAGUUGUUGUGUCAGUGAGACUUAUUGUUUGUUUGUCUUUUUAAUUUGUUACUUGUACUGUUGAGAUUACAUAAAUUAUAUUAAGGUUGUUGAGGGAAUCUUUUGUUUCUGGAUAUUUUUUUCCAGUUUAGUUGUGUAAGUUGUGUGUAUUAAGUAAUAUUUUUUUUUAUUCUUAUUAUGUUGGUUAUAUGUUUUUUUUUAUUUUUAAACUUGUUGUUUUUACCGGACCAUUAAACCAAAUGCAUGAAGACUUGUAUAAAUAAUUAUAAAAUGAGUGACAAUUAGUAUUUGGGUUUUAAUGGGUUUUAAACGAAUAUAUGUAUUUCUCAUAAGAAGACAAUAGCAUUGGCAUGUUGACAUUGAGUAUGUAAGCUUAUUUUCAUAAGACAAGAAGAGUGAGCAGGUGGAGAUGUUGUUGCCGCUUUUGUGUCUGUUGGGAUUGUCUCUUGUAUCUCAUAGUGUGGUUAUAUUUGUUUCUCUUUUAUUUGAUGGGUAAUAUGUAAACAAAAGUCAUUGUUAGUUGUAUUUAUCAGAGUUUGUAACUUA